rnacentral:misc_RNA from 1 species
UACGUAGGGUCCAGGCGUUAUCCGGAAUCAUUGGGCGUAAAGAGCUCGUAGGCGGUUCAGCAAGUCGGCUGUGAAAGUUCAAGGCUCAACCUUGAAAAUGCAGUCGAUACUGCUGUGACUAGAGUCUGGUAGAGGAGAAUGGAAUUCUCGGUGUAGCGGUGGAAUGCGCAGAUAUCGAGAGGAACACCAGUAGCGAAGGCGGUUCUCUGGGCCUCGACUGACGCUGAGGAGCGAAAGCAUGGGUAGCAAACAGG